CACAGAUUCUCCCGGACCCACGUGGAAGCGGCACUCAAGAUGGUAGGAGAAUGAGCUCCUGUUUCGGAGCUGCGCCGCGAGGCCCGCCUGCGCCGCGAGUACCUGUACCGCAAGGCCCGGGAGGAGGCGCAGCGCUCAGCCCAGGAGAGGAAGGAGCGGCUGCGGCGCGCGCUGGAAGAAAACCGCCUGAUUCCCACUGAGAUACGCCGAGAGGCUCUGGCCUUACAGGGGUCCCUGGAGUUUGAUGAUGCCGGAGGUGAAGGUGUGACCAGCCACGUGGAUGAUGAAUACCGAUGGGCAGGAGUCGAGGAUCCCAAGGUUAUGAUCACUACCUCCCGAGACCCCAGUUCCCGCCUCAAGAUGUUUGCAAAGGUACUGGUGAGCAGGGAGUGAGGGAGAGACACCCAGGACACACAGCCCCAGUCCUGACUGUACACUGCCAUCCACGCCCAGGAGCUGAAGCUGGUGUUCCCGGGCGCCCAGCGAAUGAACCGAGGUCGACAUGAAGUGGGGGCACUGGUGCGAGCCUGCAAAGCCAACGGCGUCACCGAUCUGCUGGUCGUUCACGAGCAUCGGGGCACACCUGGUGAGGCCGGAGGGAGGGAGUCGGGGUGGGAGCCGUCUGAGGGCAGACGGGGUCUCUGACAGCCACCUUUCCCUGCCAGUGGGGCUCAUCGUCAGCCACCUGCCCUUUGGUCCUACUGCCUACUUCACGCUGUGCAAUGUGGUCAUGCGGCAUGACAUCCCAGACCUGGGCACCAUGUCGGAGGCCAAGCCCCACCUCAUCACACACGGCUUCUCCUCCCGCCUGGGCAAGCGGGUCUCUGACAUCCUCCGAUACUUAUUUCCCGUGCC
rnacentral:sRNA from 1 species